rnacentral:rRNA from 1 species
GAUGAACGCUAGCGGCAGGCUUAACACAUGCAAGUCGAGGGGUAUUGGUUUUCGGACCAAGAGACCGGCGCACGGGUGCGUAACGCGUAUGCAAUCUACCUUUUGCAGAGGGAUAGCCCAGAGAAAUUUGGAUUAAUACCUCAUAGUAUAGUACUUUGGCAUCAAGGAACUAUUAAAGUCACAACGGCAAAGAAUGAGCAUGCGUCCCAUUAGCUAGUUGGUAAGGUAACGGCUUACCAAGGCUACGAUGGGUAGGGGUCCGUGAGAGGGAGAUCCCCCACCACUGGUACUGAGACACGGACCAGACUCCUACGGGAGGCAGCAGUGAGGAAUAUUGGUACGAA